UACGAAGGGGGCUAGUGUUGUUCGGAGUUACUGGGCGUAAAGCGCGUGUAGGCGGUUGUUCAAGUCAGGUGUGAAAGCCUUGAGCUCAACUCAAGAAAUGCACUUGAUACUGGAUGACUAGAGGACCGGAGAGGAUAGUGGAAUUCCCAGUGUAGUGGUGAAAUACGUAGAGAUCCGGAAGAACACCGGUGGCGAAGGCGGUCUGCUGGGCAGUUGCUGACACUGAGGCGCGACAGCGUGGGGAGCAAACAGG
rnacentral:rRNA from 1 species